AAAUGGGCGAGUGUCCACUUCCUCCCUCCCCACUCGAUGUGCAUCCUUCCCAAAGAUGCAUGUUCCAUGGAAGCAGGGGACCUUUCCCCGACAAGAGGAGGACCAGCCUUUGACCAAGGAUCAUAUGAGUAGCUGGCUCUCCUUCAGACAAGCACUCAGGAAUCUGAUAAGAUUGACUAGGAAAGCAGU
rnacentral:sRNA from 1 species